GAGGGAGAGUAUUAGAUCAAUAUCGUAGUUCGUUAUUGCCUGAAAUUGUUCAAGCUUUGUUGUGUACACGAGAUUGGCUUUUUGGCAAAGGAGCCAUGGAGGAAGAGAUAGAAAUCCUUACUGAAGAUGUCUUCAAACUUAAUUGUGAAGAUACUAGAUCGGGACAAUGCUCCAAUAGUAUUUCUCUUGAUGAUUGAUGUGAGGAACAUUGCAAGUGAAAUGUUGAAGUCUGGAUCACAUUCAUGGAUGCUAUACAUGUUG